rnacentral:rRNA from 1 species
CCUACGGGAGGCAGCAGUGAGGAAUAUUGGUCAAUGGGCGAAAGCCUGAACCAGCCAAGUCGCGUGAGGGAUGAAGGUUCUAUGGAUUGUAAACCUCUUUUAUAAGGGAAUAAAGUGCGGGACGUGUCCCGUUUUGUAUGUACCUUAUGAAUAAGGAUCGGCUAACUCCGUGCCAGCAGCCGCGGUAAUACGGAGGAUCCGAGCGUUAUCCGGAUUUAUUGGGUUUAAAGGGUGCGUAGGCGGACUUUGAAGUUAGCGGUGAAAGUUGGUGGCCUAACCAUAGACUGGCCGUUGAAACUGGUCUUCUAGAGUAUGUUUGAGGUAGGCGGAAUGCGUGGUGUAGCGGUGAAAUGCUUAGAUAUCACGCAGAACCCCGAUUGCGAAGGCAGCAUGCC